UCUCCACCUCCCCGUGAGAACGCCCUUCUGUUCCUAAUGGACUAAGGAGUUGGUAUCAGGCACAAUAAUUUGCCCAAAACACCUAGUUUCACCACACCCACAAGGGGCCCCAGCAGUGAUUAAUAUUAUUUAUAAGCGCAAGCUUGAACUAGUUAAAACAAUAAUGAGUCGGCCAAUCUGGUGCCAGCCGCCGUGGUUACACCACGUGACUCAAACUGAUCAUAACGGCGUAAAGCGUGAUUAAAGUAAUAUUACAUAAAGUUAAACAUCAAUUAAGCCGUGACACGCCUAUUGUUCUUGAACUCAAAAACGAAAGUUACUUUAUUAAACCCACUUGAAUCCACGACAGCUGAGAAACAAACUGGGAUUAGAUACCCCACUAUGCUCAGCCAUAAACUUUAAAUUACAUUCUCAUCGCCAGGGAACUACGAGCCAAGCUUAAAACCCAAAGGACUUGACGGUUCACCACAUCCCCCUAGAGGAGCCUGUCCUACAAUCGAUAUUCCCCGAUAUACCUCACCUAUAUUUGUUUAUCAGCCUGUAUACCUCCGUCGUCAGCUUACCACGUGAGCGCCAAUAAGUGAGCUUGAUGUUCUUAUAACAACACGUCAGGUCAAGGUGCAGCAUAUAUUUAGGAAAGAGAUGGGCUACACUUUCUAUUAUAGAAAAUACGAAAAACUAUUUAUGAAAUCUAGUUAGAAGGCGGAUUUAGCAGUAAAGAGAAAUUAGUAUAUUCUCUUAAACCUGGCACUGGAGUGCGCACACACCGCCCGUCACCCUCUUCAAGGCUAUUUUUCAAUUUUUAUUAUUCUCAGCAAAAAGAAGAGGCAAGUCGUAACUCUUAAUUGUGUUACUUACACCAAUUUAAAAA
rnacentral:ncRNA from 1 species